rnacentral:rRNA from 1 species
AACGUAGGAGACAAACGUUAUCCGGAGUUACUGGGCGUAAAGGGCGCGUAGGCGGCCUUCUAAGUCGAACGUGAAAUCCCUGGGCUCAACCCAGGAACUGCGUCCGAUACUGGGAGGCUUGAAUCCGGGAGAGGGAUGCGGAAUUCCAGGUGUAGCGGUGAAAUGCGCAGAUAUCAGGAGGAACACCGGUGGCGAAGGCGGCUUGCUGGGCCUUACCUGACGCUGAGGAGCGAAAGCGUGGGGAGCGAACAGG